UCCUCCCUCUUUCUUCGUGCUUAACACAUGCAAGUCGAACGGAAAGGCCCCCUUGUGGGGUACUCGAGUGGCGAACGGGUGAGUAACACGUGAGUAACCUACCCCUGACUUUGGGAUAACUUCAUCAAACUGGGGCUAAUACCGCCUAGGAGCUCCUGCUGCAUGGUGGGGGUUGGAAAGUUUCGGCGGCUGGGGAUGGACUCGCGGCUUAUCAGCUUGUUGGUGGGGUAGUGGCUCACAAAGGCUUUGACGGGUAGCCGGCCUGAGAGGGUGGCCGGCCACAUUGGGACUGAGAUACGGCCCAGACUCCUACGGGAGGCAGCAGUGGGGAAUAUUGCACAAUGGGCGGAAGCCUGAUGCAGCAACGCCGCGUGCGGGAUGACGGCCUUCGGGUUGUAAACCGCUUUCGCCUGUGACGAAGCGUGAGUGACGGUAAUGGGUAAAGAAGCACCGGCUAACUACGUG
rnacentral:rRNA from 1 species